rnacentral:rRNA from 1 species
UACGGAGGAUGCGAGCGUUAUCCGGAUUUAUUGGGUUUAAAGGGUGCGUAGGCAGCUUAGUAAGUCAGCGGUGAAAUUUUGCAGCUUAACUGUAACAGUGCCGUUGAUACUGCCAGGCUAGGAUUUGGUUGCUGUGGGUGGAAUGUGUGGUGUAGCGGUGAAAUGCUUAGAUAUCACACAGAAUAUCGAUUGCGAAGGCAGCUCACAAAGCCAAGAUUGACGCUGAGGCACGAAAGUGCGGGGAUCAAA